UGCAAGUCGAGCGGCAGCACAGAAGGAACUUGUUUCCUUGGGUGGCGAGCGGCGGACGGGUGAGUAAUGCCUAGGAAAUUGCCCUGAUGUGGGGGAUAACCAUUGGAAACGAUGGCUAAUACCGCAUGAUGCCUACGGGCCAAAGAGGGGGACCUUCGGGCCUCUCGCGUCAGGAUAUGCCUAGGUGGGAUUAGCUAGUUGGUGAGGUAAUGGCUCACCAAGGCGACGAUCCCUAGCUGGUCUGAGAGGAUGAUCAGCCACACUGGAACUGAGACACGGUCCAGACUCCUACGGGAGGCAGCAGUGGGGAAUAUUGCACAAUGGGCGCAAGCCUGAUGCAGCCAUGCCGCGUGUAUGAAGAAGGCCUUCGGGUUGUAAAGUACUUUCAGUCGUGAGGAAGGUGGUGUUGUUAAUAGCAGCAUCAUUUGACGUUAGCGACAGAAGAAGCACCGGCUAACUCCGUGCCAGCAGCCGCGGUAAUACGGAGGGUGCGAGCGUUAAUCGGAAUUACUGGGCGUAAAGCGCAUGCAGGUGGUGGAUUAAGUCAGAUGUGAAAGCCCGGGGCUCAACCUCGGAACCGCAUUUGAAACUGGUUCACUAGAGUACUGUAGAGGGGGGUAGAAUUUCAGGUGUAGCGGUGAAAUGCGUAGAGAUCUGAAGGAAUACCGGUGGCG
rnacentral:rRNA from 1 species